rnacentral:rRNA from 1 species
GUCCCGCAACGAGCGCAACCCUUAUCCUUUGUUGCCAGCGGUCCGGCCGGGAACUCAAAGGAGACUGCCAGUGAUAAACUGGAGGAAGGUGGGGACGACGUCAAGUCAUCAUGGCCCUUACGACCAGGGCUACACACGUGCUACAAUGGCGCAUACAAAGAGAAGCGACCUCGCGAGAGCAAGCGGACCUCAUAAAGUGCGUCGUAGUCCGGAUUGGAGUCUGCAACUCGACUCCAUGAAGUCGGAAUCGCUAGUAAUCGUGGAUCAGAAUGCCACGGUGAAUACGUUCCCGGGCCUUGUACACACCGCCCGUCACACCAUGGGAGUGGGUUGCAAAAGAAGUAGGUAGCUUAACCUUCGGGAGGGCGCUUACCACUUUGUGAUUCAUGACUGGGGUGAAGUCGUAACAAGGUAACCGUAGGGGAACCUGCGGUUGGAUCACCUCCU